GUGCUCGCUUCAGCAGCACAUAUAUUAAAAUUGGAAUGAUACAGAGAUUAGCAUGGCCUCUUCAAUAGGAUGACAUACAAAUUCAUGAAGUAUUCCAUAUUUUU